UAGAAUUUACACAUGGGCUAUGACAGCCGAGAUUCUGUGCUCAAUCCAAACUCAUAUAUUCAAUUAAUUCUCAACGAUUCAAUCGAUGGCACAGUUCCAUUAAAUUACAUAUUUAAUAAUUAAGUAUUUGUUUCUAGUUUGGCCAUUACGAUACGUGGGCUAUAUUUGACUGAUGCAAAGGCAAAGACCGAGAGCUGAAUCUUCAUAUCUGCAAUCUUAAUAUCACUGAAUACAUCAAGGCACUAAAAAUAUUCCUAAUCUAAUUGUACAUAAUUCGAAGUUGCGUUUUUUCAAUGGCAUCUAUUAUUUUAUUAUUUUUAUUUA